rnacentral:rRNA from 1 species
UACAGAGGUCUCAAGCGUUGUUCGGAUUCAUUGGGCGUAAAGGGUGCGUAGGUGGCCAUUUAAGUCCGCUGUGAAAGUCAAAGGCUCAACCUUUGAAAGCCGGUGGAUACUGGAUGGCUAGAGUACGGAAGAGGCGAGUGGAAUUCCUGGUGUAGCGGUGGAAUGCGCAGAUAUCAGGAGGAACACCAAUAGCGAAGGCAGCUCGCUGGGACGUUACUGACACUGAGGCGCGAAAGCGUGGGGAGCGAACAGG